UGCCCAGUGGCCUAAUGGAUAAGGCAUCAGCCUCCGGAGCUGGGGAUUGUGGGUUCAAGUCCCACCUGGGUUACAA